rnacentral:rRNA from 1 species
GGGGGGGGGGGGGGGGGGGGGGGGGGGGGGGGGGGGGGGGCGGAGGGGGGGCGUGGGCCGCUGGGGGUGGCGGCGGGCGGGGGAGGGGCCCGUGGGUAACCUCCCUCUCCGCCUGGGGUCACUUCGGGAACCCGGAGCUAAUACCGGAUAAUAUAUUGAACCUCCUGGUUCCCUCGUGAAAUACGGUUUUGCUGUCCCUUCUCGAUGGAUCCGCGCCGCCUUAGCUAGUUGGUAAGGUAACGGCUUACCACGGCGACGAUGCGUAGCCGACCUGAGAGGGUGAUCGGCCACACUGGAACUGAGACACGGUCCAGACUCCUACGGGAGGCAGCAGUAGGGAAUCUUCCGCAAUGGGCGAAAGCCUGACGGAGCAACGCCGCGUGAGUGAUGAAGGUCUUCGGAUCGUAAAACUCUGUUAUUAGGGAAGAACAAAUGUGUAAGUAACUAUGCACGUCUUGACGGUACCUAAUCAGAAAGCCACGGCUAACUACGUG